GACGAACGCUGGCGGCGUGCCUAAUACAUGCAAGUCGAACGCUGAAGAGAAGAGCUUGCUCUUCUUGGAUGAGUUGCGAACGGGUGAGUAACGCGUAGGUAACCUGCCUUGUAGCGGGGGAUAACUAUUGGAAACGAUAGCUAAUACCGCAUAACAAUGGAUGACACAUGUCAUUUAUUUGAAAGGGGCAAUUGCUCCACUACAAGAUGGACCUGCGUUGUAUUAGCUAGUAGGUGAGGUAACGGCUCACCUAGGCGACGAUACAUAGCCGACCUGAGAGGGUGAUCGGCCACACUGGGACUGAGACACGGCCCAGACUCCUACGGGAGGCAGCAGUAGGGAAUCUUCGGCAAUGGGGGCAACCCUGACCGAGCAACGCCGCGUGAGUGAAGAAGGUUUUCGGAUCGUAAAGCUCUGUUGUAAGUCAAGAACGAGUGUGAGAGUGGAAAGUUCACACUGUGACGGUAGCUUACCAGAAAGGGACGGCUAACUACGUG
rnacentral:rRNA from 1 species